CGAGGAGCUUGCUCCUCUGACGUUAGCGGCGGACGGGUGAGUAACACGUGGAUAACCUACCUAUAAGACUGGGAUAACUUCGGGAAACCGGAGCUAAUACCGGAUAAUAUAUUGAACCGCAUGGUUCAAUAGUGAAAGACGGUUUUGCUGUCACUUAUAGAUGGAUCCGCGCCGCAUUAGCUAGUUGGUAAGGUAACGGCUUACCAAGGCAACGAUGCGUAGCCGACCUGAGAGGGUGAUCGGCCACACUGGAACUGAGACACGGUCCAGACUCCUACGGGAGGCAGCAGUAGGGAAUCUUCCGCAAUGGGCGAAAGCCUGACGGAGCAACGCCGCGUGAGUGAUGAAGGUCUUCGGAUCGUAAAACUCUGUUAUUAGGGAAGAACAAAUGUGUAAGUAACUAUGCACGUCUUGACGGUACCUAAUCAGAAAGCCACGGCUAACUACGUGCCAGCAGCCGCGGUAAUACGUAGGUGGCAAGCGUUAUCCGGAAUUAUUGGGCGUAAAGCGCGCGUAGGCGGUUUUUUAAGUCUGAUGUGAAAGCCCACGGCUCAACCGUGGAGGGUCAUUGGAAACUGGAAAACUUGAGUGCAGAAGAGGAAAGUGGAAUUCCAUGUGUAGCGGUGAAAUGCGCAGAGAUAUGGAGGAACACCAGUGGCGAAGGCGACUUUCUGGUCUGUAACUGACGCUGAUGUGCGAAAGCGUGGGGA
rnacentral:rRNA from 1 species